UACGAAGGGGGCUAGCGUUGCUCGGAAUCACUGGGCGUAAAGCGCACGUAGGCGGCUUUUUAAGUCAGGGGUGAAAUCCUGGAGCUCAACUCCAGAACCGCCUUUGAUACUGAGAAGCUUGAGUCCGGGAGAGGUGAGUGGAACUGCGGGUGUAGAGGUGAAAUUCGUAGAUAUUCGCAAGAACACCAGUGGCGAAGGCGGCUCACUGGCCCGGUACUGACGCUGAGGUGCGAAAGCGUGGGGAGCAAACAGG
rnacentral:rRNA from 1 species